rnacentral:rRNA from 1 species
AGUGAACGCUGGCGGUAGGCCUAACACAUGCAAGUCGAACGGCAGCACAGUAAGAGCUUGCUCCUACGGGUGGCGAGUGGCGGACGGGUGAGGAAUACAUCGGAAUCUACUUUUUCGUGGGGGAUAACGUAGGGAAACUUACGCUAAUACCGCAUACGACCUACGGGUGAAAGCAGGGGAUCUUCGGACCUUGCGCGAUUGAAUGAGCCGAUGUCGGAUUAGCUAGUUGGCGGGGUAAAGGCCCACCAAGGCGACGAUCCGUAGCUGGUCUGAGAGGAUGAUCAGCCACACUGGAACUGAGACACGGUCCAGACUCCUACGGGAGGCAGCAGUGGGGAAUAUUGGACAAUGGGCGCAAGCCUGAUCCAGCCAUACCGCGUGGGUGAAGAAGGCCUUCAGGUUGUAAAGCCCUUUUGUUGGGAAAGAAAAGCAGCAGGUUAAUACCCCGCUGUUCUGACGGUACCCAAAGAAUAAGCACCGGCUAACUUCGUG